rnacentral:rRNA from 1 species
AUUGAACGCUGGCGGCAGGCCUAACACAUGCAAGUCGAGCGGAUGAAGGGAGCUUGCUCCUGGAUUCAGCGGCGGACGGGUGAGUAAUGCCUAGGAAUCUGCCUGGUAGUGGGGGAUAACGUCCGGAAACGGGCGCUAAUACCGCAUACGUCCUGAGGGAGAAAGUGGGGGAUCUUCGGACCUCACGCUAUCAGAUGAGCCUAGGUCGGAUUAGCUAGUUGGUGGGGUAAAGGCCUACCAAGGCGACGAUCCGUAACUGGUCUGAGAGGAUGAUCAGUCACACUGGAACUGAGACACGGUCUAGACUCCUACGGGAGGCAGCAGUGGGGAAUAUUGGACAAUGGGCGAAAGCCUGAUCCAGCCAUGCCGCGUGUGUGAAGAAGGUCUUCGGAUUGUAAGGCACUUUAAGUUGGGAGGAAGGGCAGUAAGUUAAUACCUUGCUGUUUUGACGUUACCAACAGAAUAAGCACCGGCUAACUUCGUG